CCUACGGGGGGCUGCAGUGGGGAAUAUUGCACAAUGGGGGAAACCCUGAUGCAGCGACGCCGCGUGAGUGAAGAAGUAAUUCGUUAUGUAAAGCUCUAUCAGCAGGGAAGAAAAUGACGGUACCUGAGUACGAAGCCCCGGCUAACUACGUGCCAGCAGCCGCGGUAAUACGUAGGGGGCAAGCGUUAUCCGGAUUUACUGGGUGUAAAGGGAGCGUAGACGGCAGUGCAAGUCUGGAGUGAAAGGCGGGGACUCAACCCCCGGACUGCUCUGGAAACUGUACGGCUAGAGUGCAGGAGAGGUAAGUGGAAUGCCUAGUGUAGCGGAGAAAUGCGUAGAUAUUAGGAGGAACACCAGUGGCGAAGGCGGCUUACUGGACUGUAACUGACGUUGAGGCUCGAAAGCGUGGGGAGCAAACAGGAUUAGAUACCCCGGUAGUC
rnacentral:rRNA from 1 species